rnacentral:piRNA from 1 species
UGCCGGCAGGGUAAGUU